rnacentral:rRNA from 1 species
UACGUAGGGUGCAAGCGUUAAUCGGAAUUACUGGGCGUAAAGCGUGCGCAGGCGGUUGUGCAAGACCGAUGUGAAAUCCCCGGGCUUAACCUGGGAAUGGCAUUGGUGACUGCACGGCUAGAGUGUGUCAGAGGGGGGUAGAAUUCCACGUGUAGCAGUGAAAUGCGUAGAGAUGUGGAGGAAUACCGAUGGCGAAGGCAGCCCCCCUGGGUUAACACUGACGCUCAGGCACGAAAGCGUGGGGAGCAAACAGG